GAUGGUUGUGCUCUGAGGAAAU
rnacentral:miRNA from 1 species